UAUGCCACUGUCUUGUGUAAUUCUCAUUCUGUUGCAUGGUAAAUAUGAAUACGCCUUUUUGCACAUAAUGAAGGAAGUUUAUUUUGAAGUGACAUGCUUCAAGUCCCUCAGUCAUCUUAAAUUUGUAAAUAGAA